rnacentral:rRNA from 1 species
AUUGAACGCUGGCGGCAGGCCUAACACAUGCAAGUCGAACGAGUGGCGGACGGGUGAGUAAUGUCUGGGAAACUGCCUGAUGGAGGGGGAUAACUACUGGAAACGGUAGCUAAUACCGCAUACCAUCGGAUGUGCCCAGCUGGGCUUAGCUAGUAGGUGGGGUAACGGCUCACCUAGGCGACGAUCCCUAGCUGGUCUGAGAGGAUGACCAGCAAAACGGGAAAUGGGACACGGUCCAGAGUCCUACGGGAGGCAGCAGUGGGGAAUAUGGCACAAUGGGCGCAAGCCUGAUGCAGCCAGGCGGCGUGUAUGAAGAAGGCCGUGGGGUUGUAAAGUACUUUCAGCGGGGAGGCGUUACCCGCAGAAGAAGCACCGGCUAACUCCGUGCCAGCAGCCGCGGUAAUAC